AACGAACGCUGGCGGCAUGCCUAACACAUGCAAGUCGAACGAGACCUUCGGGUCUAGUGGCGCACGGGUGCGUAACGCGUGGGAACCUGCCCUUAGGGUCGGCAUAACUCCCCGAAAGGGGUGCUAAUACCGGAUAAUGUCUUCGGACCAAAGAUUUAUCGCCUUUGGAUGGGCCCGCGUUGGAUUAGCUAGUUGGUAGGGUAAAAGCCUACCAAGGCGACGAUCCAUAGCUGGUCUGAGAGGAUGAUCAGCCACACUGGGACUGAGACACGGCCCAGACUCGUACGGAAGGGAGCAGUGGGGAACAUUGGACGAGGGGCGAAGGCGUGAUGCAGCAAUGCCGCGUGAGUGAUGAAGGGCGUAGUGUUGUAAAGCUCUUGUACCCGGGAUGAUAAUGACGGUACCGGGAGAAUAAGCCCCGGCUAACUCCGUG
rnacentral:rRNA from 1 species